UGUGCUUAUCCAUCAACUAUAAGAAUAUGCAUUUCAAACACAAACUCUAGCUCUUUAAAGUGAAUAUCCAAUGAAACUGAUUCAGUUGACAUAAAAUGUGUAAAAGGCCAGCUGCAUAAUGUUCAAUGUUAGAUGGAUUGGACUUUCUAGGUGUACAAUUUUGGAAGCAGAACUACAGCACUAAAGCAACCAGGAUAGGCACAUGUAAGAUGUUGUUCUUAGUAGCAGCAUUCUGUAGCACAGUGGUAUACAGGGAAAGCUUUGCUAUCAGUCACACCUAGGAUUCUAAUCUCAGUUCUUUACAUAGGAACUGUGUGAUCUCUAUAACCUCUUAGCCUUAGUUGCAUCAUCUAUAAAAUGGGGUUGAGAACUGUCCUUGUCUUAGAGGUUUGCUGGGAGGCUUAACUGAGAUAGUGCACAUAAAAUGUUUAGUAGUGUCAACGACUUGUUUUCGUCUCCUCCUGGAUUGUGUAUUAUCUCAAAAGCAGAGGUGUUAAGAAUCAAAUGAGCUAACGUAUGUAAAAUGUGCAUAGAAGCUAUCAUUAGCCCCCAGUAAACGAAGCCAUUAAGUAGGACAAUAUAUGAAGCUCUAUUUAACUUGAUCUCUUUGUCUAAAAAGUUAACCAGUUGUUUUGGGAGUUUUCCCACAGCUUUGGAACCUACCAGUGGCAGCUUAAGGGAAUAAGAACAAGUGGAAGAGAAAAGGCAAUGGUCUAGACUGGACACAGUGAGAAGACAGCCAUCUACAAGCCACAGAGUCCUUACUGGGAACUGAGCAGGACCAGCACCUUGAUGGGAGGACUUCCUGCCCUCCAGAACUUUGAGAAAUAAAUCUCUGUUGGCUAAGCCACCCAA